GCAAACUUGGUCAUUUAGAGGAAGUAAAAGUCGUAACAAGGUUUCCGUAGGUGAACCUGCGGAAGGAUCAUUAUCGAAUGUAAUACGGGGAUGUUGCUGGCCAUUUUGAUGGCAAUGUGCACUCCUCUUCAUUCAAAUCCACCUGUGCACAUUGAGUAGGCAUGGAUUCAGUUCUGUGCCUAUGUUUUCAUCCAUACACACUUUGAUGUAUUGUAUGACUUGUAAAGAAAUGUCUUGCACAACUUUCAACAAUGGAUCUCUUGGUUCUCGCAUCGAUGAAGAACGCAGC
rnacentral:misc_RNA from 1 species